GAAAUUGCGAGCUACAUAACUUAGCAGGUUAUAUAUAUAUAUAUAUGUAUAUGCUAUAUAUCCUUACUCUAGUUUAUUUCUGCGUUUUUGGUGCUCUAAGAAUGGAGAGACCCAGAUAAAAAUUCUAGCAAAAGAUUUGUUAAGGAAUGUAGCAAAUUCAGGAGAUUAUAGGAAAUCUAUUUACGAGAUUCUAGAUUGGAUUCCGGCAGAUAGUCAAAAGGUUUACGAUCUGGGAUCAUGGAACUUCCGAGGAAUUGCCGUCCGUUCUACAGAUUCACUACUAUGGGACUUGUCUAUCAUCCGUGCGAAAAAAGCGUUAUUAUUUGUUAUGAGCUUUAUUUUUAAUUGUUUGGCAAUGGGUAAGAAGCGUAAAAAACGCUCUUAAAUUUUCUAAACUUUGCACUCAUUUUUUAUGAUUGCUUGAUCAGUAGUAAAACUUAUAUUUUAAAGUCUAUAAAUGUUUUAAAACAAAGUGCAUUUGGUUGAAGAAAUGCUUAUGAGAUACCUCUAGGUUCUGAUUGCUUAUCAAAUUUCCCAAAACAAAUUUUUAGCGUUGCUAAGGAAAACAAAGGAAUUUUAUAAAAUAUCCCUUGACUAAAAGAGCAACUAGUUGAAUACUUUGUUACCUUGUAUAGCCGAUUGGAUUGUAGUCUUUAAGCAAUAAAUUGAAGACGUUAGAAGUUGUGUGUCUUGAUUAAUUGAGCAAAUAGGUCAUCAGCAAAUUAUAUUGCCUUAGCAAGUUUUGUACAUGGGGAACAAAUUUUGCUAAUUGUUGGUAGGAAUGAAUUGAAUAAUUGUGACUUUUGUUUGAAUCACUGUCCCUUGAGCCUCGUCUUCGAUAUAACCAAGUCUCAAGUUAUUCACGAAGAAGUAUAACA
rnacentral:misc_RNA from 1 species